GACGAACGCUGGCGGCGUGCUUAACACAUGCAAGUCGAACGGAAAGGCCCUGCUUUUGUGGGGUGCUCGAGUGGCGAACGGGUGAGUAACACGUGAGUAACCUGCCCUUGACUUUGGGAUAACUUCAGGAAACUGGGGCUAAUACCGGAUAGGAGCUCCUGCUGCAUGGUGGGGUUUGGAAAGUUUCGGCGGUUGGGGAUGGACUCGCGGCUUAUCAGCUUGUUGGUGGGGUAGUGGCUUACCAAGGCUUUGACGGGUAGCCGGCCUGAGAGGGUGACCGGCCACAUUGGGACUGAGAGACGGCCCAGACGCCUACGGGAGGCAGCAGUGGGGAAUAUUGCACAAUGGGCGGAAGCCUGAGGCAGCAACGCCGGGAGCGGGAUGACGGCCUUCGGGUUGUAAACCGCUUUAGCCUGUGACGAAGCGGGAGUGACGGUAAUGGGUAAAGAAGCACCGGCUAACUACGUG
rnacentral:rRNA from 1 species